GACGUAGGGCGCGAGCGUUGUCCGGAUUUAUUGGGCGUAAAGAGCUCGUAGGCGGCUUGUCGCGUCGACUGUGAAAUCCCGCGGCUCAACUGCGGGUCUGCAGUCGAUACGGGCAGGCUAGAGUUCGGUAGGGGAGACUGGAAUUCCUGGUGUAGCGGUGAAAUGCGCAGAUAUCAGGAGGAACACCCGGUGGCGAAGGCGGGUCUCUGGGCCGAUACUGACGCUGAGGAGCGAAAGCGUGGGGAGCGAACAGG
rnacentral:rRNA from 1 species